rnacentral:rRNA from 1 species
UACGUAGGGUGCAAGCGUUGUCCGGAAUUAUUGGGCGUAAAGCGCUCGUAGGCGGUUUGUCGCGUCUGCUGUGAAAACUCGGGGCUCAACUCCGAGCUUGCAGUGGGUACGGGCAGACUAGAGUGCGGUAGGGGAGACUGGAAUUCCUGGUGUAGCGGUGGAAUGCGCAGAUAUCAGGAGGAACACCGGUGGCGAAGGCGGGUCUCUGGGCCGUAACUGACGCUGAGGAGCGAAAGCAUGGGGAGCGAACAGG